ensembl:snoRNA SNORD116 Small nucleolar RNA SNORD116
GGAUCGAUGAUGACUCCACAAAUGCAUUCCUUGGAAAUCUGAACAAAAUGGUGAGCCAUCACUACCGUCUCCUCAUCGGAACUGAGGUCC